AUAUGAAAAUGAAUUCAAUCAAGCUAUAUUAAUCUGCAUAUUAACACAAAAAAAAAAUGAAAACUUACCGUGAUAUAAACCACAUAAACAACAUAACCAGACAUGGUUAGAUCAUGCAUAUUACAAGAAUUUAAAAAUAUAAAUAAAUACAACAUAAAACAAAGAUCAAGAGUAUAAAACACAGUGUGGCUAAGUUUUCGAGUGUUAGUGGAGGUUCAGAUUUGUCCUCCUAUCUACGGAUGUUAGGUGAUGUUUAGGCGUGAUCCAGACUAUGGCUCAGAUGCGUGGCUUAGGUGAUGUUUCCGCUCCCCACUUUUCAUAGCCCAAACUGGGAAGGAGAGGUAGAUCGUCGAUUCCAAUUCCAAGAGAAAGAUCAGUAUUAUGAACUAUGAGAACGCUUCAGUUUCCCUCUACUGGAGACGGAAAGAUCAAUGAAGAAAACCUCUCUCUUAACAAGAGUUUGAAUCUAGAGUUUAAACUGGUUUGUGUUGCUUAGAUUUACAAAAAUCACUAACUUUAUUCUAUUUUUCUUGCUUUUGGUUUUCUGUACUUUAUAGAAGUUAGGGUUUUCAUAUUUAGGAAUUUAUUGAAAAUCAAUCAGUACUAUAUUUCACUGUCGAUUUAUUGACCAAAUUCAUAAUAUCCUGUUAUUUGUUUAUAUUUAUAGUGAUUAAUUUGUAUUUGUUUCCUUCACUGAUUAUAGGGUCAAACUAUGUUGUGAUUAAGGUGCUGUGUGAUUGCUAUUUAUGUUUCCUGUUUUAAAGUAUAUGCAUAUUGCUACAAAGUAGUCUUCGUUGUUAAUCUAGUAUCUCUAAACAUCUUUAUCUUGCAGAUUGAAGCUCAUUGCAAUAGUAAUGCUGUCGAGUUUCAAAGUAAUCUGUGACUCUGUUCGCAAUACUGAUUUUGGUGAAACUACAAUAACCAUGCUAAUAUGGUCAGUUUAAGAGAUACAGAUGGUAUCUCAUCCAUAUGAUGUUCCAAAUCUGGUACUGGAAGUAUUUCAGAAGGAAACUUUUAUCUCAAAAAUAAGUAUGCAGUUCAUUGCGGCAGAAAUACAUGAUAAAGAACGCAGAACUUUUAAAAGCGUGCAAAUGAAGAAAACAGGCAUUUUUUAGUUUUUUAUCAUCCUUUAUUUGGGAAUGCUAUUGUGGUUUUUGAAUCAUUGAUAAUGGUGAUUGUUUGUGGGUGGGACUGUGGUAGUAUGAGUGACUGAGACAUGAGGCUGAGAGGUAAUGCAGUAGCAUGCUCCAUACUUUUUUGUCUACACAUGCUCAAUGUGAUGUUUCCACUCCCUUAAAUCCUAAUGAGCAAAUGAAAAUCAGAGUUAAGUACUUAAGUUUAAGAUUAGAAACGAGAGAAAAUGAGAGAUAUGGAGGCGAAACUAUUUAGUUUCUUCACUAAGUGUAGAGAUUUCAUCAUCGUUUAUAAAAAAAAUUUGUUUUAUGUUGUUGUUUUUUUUACAAGAUUUUGGUUAGGUUAAUUGAAGGGGUUUAUUAUUGUUUUUCCCCCCUAAUUUUUCUUCUGUUUCAGUCUUCGCCGAGGAAGCUUUCAUCGUUCUGUUUCUUCUUCCAUAUUAUUCUCAAUUAUGUAAGGUGUAUGACAUCCAGCGCGGUUGAGGCAAUUGAAUCAAUUCGAAGAACAUCACUUUUGAAGUCUUUAAACACAAUUGCCAUGUAAAAAUUCUUCUGACCAAGUCCAACACACUCCAGAUUUGCGAUCUCAGUCUCAUUUAAGGACACCACUAACAAAGGUGUUCCAAUAAGCUCCACAGGAAAGUUGACGUUGGACAAUAACGGACGAUACCUUUGAAAGGCACACCGCGGAAGCCAAGCUCCCUAAGUGGCUGGUCAAACUCAAAUUCCAUCCCUCUGAACUGCGGUUGCCCUUUGUUUCCUUUAUUUUGUGCUGCAAGAAUUAAUGGCGUAUAUGGAAAAAUGAAAAGCAUUCUGAACAAUCCGUCAGGAGCAGUAAUUUCUCAACGAGCAAGAGAGAACAACACAAAGAAAGCUAUGUUUGCACUAAUGGAAGGUUUGGCUAAUUUCAUGGGUUUGACCUAAAGCCUCUGGAUGCUUCAAUUGAAGCUUCUGUUCAAGUUUUCUGUACAUUCAUCUCAUAAUUUUUUAUUUUCAUGUCACAUAUAAUCUAUGGUUAGUGAUGAUCAUUUGCACCUUUUACUUCAAUCUCGUUGUUUGGAGGUUAAAGAUCAUAUAUUCUACAUUCCUAAAUCAGUAUUCCUUCAUGUUUAUUAAUUAUGUAUAUGUUUGUAUGUCGUUGGAGGGUGUCAUUUGAUCCUAUGUUUGUGUCGACCACAUAGGUAAUUGGUGCUGGACCUCAAAUACUGCCACCGGCAAGUAAAGAAGUGGUCAAGAAGCUUCCCGUAACGACUGUAGCGAUAUUGAUGAGACUUCAUAAUAACACAAAGUCCUCUGUUUGUCAAUAGGAAUUGGUCAUCAAUGACUAGAUGCUGGAGUUACCUUGCAAACAUUUCUAAUUAUUCUUUCUUAAUUUGUUGAAGGAAUUUAAAAGUAGUCGAAUUCAAUGCUGAGUACGAGAAACCAGUCUUGGAUUCUGGAAAGGAAAGAGAUUGAUCAAUCAACAAUCCACAAGUUGCUCUACAAAUGAGGAGCUCCCUUGCAAUAUUGUUUACAGUAUACCAGUUGGUGCAAUCUACUGUGAAAAUAUCUAACAAGUAGAAUUUGGUGUUUCCUUUCACGCGGAAUCAAUGGGUCUUCUUCUUCUUCAAAAGGUGAGUUUAACAUAUGCGGUCUUCUUAGACUUAAGGUUUGAAUUUUGGUAAUUAGGAGGUCUUAUUUUGUCUUGCACUUUUUUCUGGACAACUGAAUUUGUAAAUUUAAGUUUUGAACCAUGUUCCUUUUGGUUUUAUAUCGACACUAAAAUAGCAAUAGUACUCACAGACGACUCCAAUGAACCUAAGUUUGGAAUUGUAGGCACAAUGGGGCCGGUUUGAGGCUUUGUUGCUGUUGCACCUAGGUUUGUUUCGUUAACUCUGUUUGUUGAUUGCAUUCACUAAUUUGGCAUCAUGACAUGCUUGCUUGAAAGAGAAUAUAUCAAUCCUAACAACCCAUCAAUUAGCACUAAACUAUGCUAAUUAAACCUCAUACACUUCCAGAACACACCCAAAAUACAAUAAAGCAACUACGGAAACUAAGGAAAAUUAAAAAUAUAUGGUUAGCUGAGUCACAAUAACAACCGCACCAAAAAUUCGUUGUGUAUAGUCUUUGGAUGUAUUCUCUUUGAUAUGUAUUCCUUAGGUUGACUUUGGUUCAUGGAUGACCAUAUUUCUUUGGUACAUAUGUCAAGCUUAUUUGUAUUUUGGUCUUAUUACAAAUUUGGCUUACAGAUGAUUGGUUUGGUACAUCCAGUUUUACCUACCAAGAUUUGUACAUUCCAAAAUUUUAGGGGCUCAAAGGUGUGUAAGUUGCAUAACAAAUGUAUUUUACAAUAUAUUUGCAUUCAUAUAUUUUAACGAUGAGCGGGGUGCUGAAAGUGUCAUCGGCAACCCAGAUAAUACCUUGCUUAUUCUAUAAGAGCAAUCAUGACUAAAUUAUCAUCAUCAUUCUGUAAGUUUUACACCAAUUUAGUUUAGUGAAUUCAGCAAAACCAUGACCAAUUGUUUUGUUGAGUCAGGGUUAUUAAGUGUCUUAGACUCAUUAAUGUCUGAGGUUCAUCGAGGUUCAUUACAGGUAUGAACAAUAAAAUAAAUGACCAUUCAACAAUAUCCUAACAUUCUUGCUUCCUGACACUCAAUUGCCCAUUAGGUAUUGUGAUGGCGCAUCCAAAAAUGUCAUCAUUUGAGUCCCAAAUCAUAAAUGACAGAAUUGUUGAACAAGUAUGUCAGUUGUUCCUGCCGUGUAAUGAAAUUAUGCAAACAAAUUUGAUCUUUGUCACCCAUUUUUAGAGCCACUCCUUUGCUAAACCACCGGUUAAAGAGAAACCCCACCAACUCUUUGUCGGGAUGGAACGUGGUAUUCAAUCCGCAGAAUGUAUCCUCCCCCUUAAUUAAAGUAUCGUAUUUGAGGGAGAGAUGGAUCUAAUAAUAUGUGAAGGGACCCAACUUCUUUUUUUGCCAUUAGACAUCAGUAUAGGACUAUUUUCUCAUUAUUUGUCAAUUGUAAUUAUAAUUAUUGCCAAAAUUAUUUAGAUAACAUGAGUCAUGAGUACUUUUUCUUAUUGAUUUAAACCUUGACCAAAUCUUUGGAGCACGUCCAAUGCUAUGGGCGAGGAUCUUAAAUGAAGCAUGUCACCUGGGAUCCAAGACAUUUUCAAGCAAAAAUACGUCUCCAAUGACUUAGCUAUUUGUCCAUUUGAUUUUAUCUGAAAUUAAA